CAUGGUUGUGUGUGGAAGUUUUUCGGCCAGGGAUGUGCUCGCGGCCUAUCAGCUUGAUGGUGAGGUAAUGGCUCACCAUGGCUUCGACGGGUAGCCGGCCUGAGAGGGUGACCGGUCACACUGGGACUGAGACACGGCCCAGACUCCUACGGGAGGCAGCAGUGGGGAAUAUUGGACAAUGGGCGGAAGCCUGAUCCAGCAACGCCGCGUGGGGGAUGACGGCCUUCGGGUUGUAAACCUCUUUCGCCUAGGACGAAGCGCAAGUGACGGUACUAGGUAAAGAAGCACCGGCCAACUACGUGCCAGCAGCCGCGGUAAUACGUAGGGUGCGAGCGUUGUCCGGAAUUAUUGGGCGUAAAGGGCUCGUAGGCGGUUUGUCGCGUCGGGAGUGAAAACCACAUGCUUAACAUGUGGCUUGCUUUCGAUACGGGCAGACUAGAGGUAUGCAGGGGAGAACGGAAUUCCUGGUGUAGCGGUGAAAUGCGCAGAUAUCAGGAGGAACACCGGUGGC
rnacentral:rRNA from 1 species